CCAACCCCACUGUCUCCUUCCCAGCACCUCUGUUGAGAAAUACCAAGUGGUAGAGAGUGUGCCUGUGUGGACGUGGGUGGGAUACGUGCCUCUUCUACACCGCCCGUAGGAAGGUACGCUUAGCAAUAGCUAUUGAAAACACAAAAGUGAUUCUGCUCUUAGGAAUGUCUCCCGCAGGGACCCUACCCUGGUGGCACAGGACGUCUCACACAGCACUGUCUGGGACAGCAAAAGGGAUGGAAACCACCUGAGUCCAACUAUGGAGGACACUGGAAAACACGAUGCUGCCUCCAUAGGAUGGGAUAUUGUUCUGGAGGCUGCAAGCCCAGGUUCAAGGCAUCAGCAGGUGUGGUUUCCUCCGAGGCCUCUCCCCGUGGCUUGCAGAUGGCUGCCUUCUUCCUGCAUCCUCACGUGGUCCCUCCUCUGCACUCCAGCAUCCUUAAUGUCUCUUUGUGUGUCCAACUUUCCGCCCCCCCCCACCCCUUUUUUUUCUGAUGGAGUCCACCCAGACUGGAGUACAGUGGCGUGAUCUCAGCUCACUGCAACCUCCACUUCCUGGGCUCAAGUGAUUCCCCCGCUUCAGCCUCCCGAGUAGCUGGGAUUACAG
rnacentral:lncRNA from 1 species